rnacentral:rRNA from 1 species
CUUUGGCAAGUCGAGCGAACAGAGAAGGAGCUUGCUCCUUCGACGUUAGCGGCGGACGGGUGAGUAACACGUGGGCAACCUACCUUAUAGUUUGGGAUAACUCCGGGAAACCGGGGCUAAUACCGAAUAAUCUGUUUCACCUCAUGGUGAAACACUGAAAGACGGUUUCGGCUGUCGCUAUAGGAUGGGCCCGCGGCGCAUUAGCUAGUUGGUGAGGUAACGGCUCACCAAGGCGACGAUGCGUAGCCGACCUGAGAGGGUGAUCGGCCACACUGGGACUGAGACACGGCCCAGACUCCUACGGGAGGCAGCAGUAGGGAAUCUUCCACAAUGGGCGAAAGCCUGAUGGAGCAACGCCGCGUGAGUGAAGAAGGAUUUCGGUUCGUAAAACUCUGUUGUAAGGGAAGAACAAGUACAGUAGUAACUGGCUGUACCUUGACGGUACCUUAUUAGAAAGCCACGGCUAACUACGUGCCAGCAGCCGCGGUAAUACGUAGGUGGCAAGCGUUGUCCGGAAUUAUUGGGCGUAAAGCGCGCGCAGGUGGUUUCUUAAGUCUGAUGUGAAAGCCCACGGCUCAACCGUGGAGGGUCAUUGGAAACUGGGAGACUUGAGUGCAGAAGAGGAUAGUGGAAAUUCCAAGUGUAGCGGUGAAAUGCGUAGAGAUUUGGAGGAACACCAGUGGCGAAAGGCGACUAUCUGGUCUGUAACUGACACUGAGCGCGAAAGCGUGGGGAGCAAACAGGAUUAGAUACCCUGGUAGUCCACGCCGUAAACGAUGAGUGCUAGUGUUUAGGGGGUUUCCGCCCCCUUAGUGCUGCAGCUAACGCAUUAAAGCACUCCGCCUGGGGAGUACGGUCGCAGACUGAAACUCAAGAUUGACGGGGGCCCGCACAGCCGUUGAGCAUGUGUUAUUCGAAGCCAACGCGAGACUAACCAGGAUUGACAUUCCGUUGACACUGUAAAGAAAUAUAGGUUUCCUUCGGGGGCCACGUGACCAAGUGUGU